rnacentral:rRNA from 1 species
GUGCAGCAGGCGAGAAUUUUUCUCAAUGGGGGCAACCCUGAAGGAGCGACGCCGCGUGGAGGAUGAAGGCUUUCGGGUUGUAAACUCCUGUCAUUUGAGAACAAGUGUAGCCAAGUAACUACUGGCUACUUGAUAGUAUCAGAAGAGGAAGGGACGGCUAACUCUGUGCCAGCAGCCGCGGUAAUACAGAGGUCCCAAGCGUUGUUCGGAUUCAUUGGGCGUAAAGGGUGCGUAGGUGGCGCCGUAAGUGGGGUGUGAAAUUCCGGAGCUUAACUCCGAAACUGCAUUCCAUAUGCGGUGCUUGAGGACUGGAGAGGAGACUGGAAUUCAUGGUGUAGCAGUGAAAUGCGUAGAGAUCAUGAGGAAGACCGGUGGCGAAGGCGGGUCUCUGGACAGUUCCUGACACUGAGGCACGAAGGCCAGGGAGCGAACGGGAUUAGAUACCCGGGUAGU